UUGCUUUAUUUUUAACCAUCCCUCACCUCUUUUUCACUUCUUUCCUUCCUACUCAGCUUGCCAUCCCUUCCUUUCUUUUUGACUUUUUUAUAUACACAAAUUGGAAAGGGCGAGAUCCUUCCUUUUCUCCCAGCGAAAAAAAAAAGUAAAUCAUCUUCAUCUUCCUCUUCCU
rnacentral:ribozyme from 1 species